CGGACGGGUAAGUAAUGUCUGGGAAACUGCCUGAUGGAGGGGGAUAACUACUGGAAACGGUAGCUAAUACCGCAUAACGUCGCAAGACCAAAGAGGGGGACCUUAGGGCCUCUUGCCAUCGGAUGUGCCCAGAUGGGAUUAGCUAGUAGGUGGGGUAACGGCUCACCUAGGCGACGAUCCCUAGCUGGUCUGAGAGGAUGACCAGCCACACUGGAACUGAGACACGGUCCAG
rnacentral:rRNA from 1 species